rnacentral:rRNA from 1 species
UAAUACGAGGGGGGCAAGCGUUGUUCGGAUUUAUUGGGCGUAAAGGGUGCGUAGGCGGUUUGGCAAGUCUGAUGUGAAAUCUAUGGGCUCAACCCAUAGUCUGCAUCAGAAACUGCCGGGCUUGAGUAUGGGAGAGGUGAGUGGAAUUUCCGGUGUAGCGGUGAAAUGCGUAGAUAUCGGAAGGAACACCUGUGGCGAAAGCGGCUCACUGGACCAUAACUGACGCUGAUGCACGA